CAGCAGCCACGGUAAUACGUAGGUGGCAAGCGUUGUCCGGAAUUAUUGGGCGUAAAGCGCGCGCAGGUGGUUUAAUAGGUCUGAUGUGAAAGCCCACGGCUCAACCGUGGAGGGUCAUUGGAAACUGUUAAACUUGAGUGCAGGAGAGAAAAGUGGAAUUCCUAGUGUAGCGGUGAAAUGCGUAGAGAUUAGGAGGAACACCAGUGGCGAAGGCGGCUUUUUGGCCUGUAACUGACACUGAGGCGCGAAAGCGUGGGGAGCAAACAGGAUUAGAUACCCCAGUAGUCCCUGUCUCUUAUAC
rnacentral:rRNA from 1 species